UACGUAGGGUGCAAGCGUUAAUCGGAAUUACUGGGCGUAAAGCGUGCGCAGGCGGUUGUGCAAGACAGAUGUGAAAUCCCCGGGCUUAACCUGGGAACUGCAUUUGUGACUGCACGGCUAGAGUGUGUCAGAGGGGGGUAGAAUUCCACGUGUAGCAGUGAAAUGCGUGGAUAUGUGGAGGAAUACCGAUGGCGAAGGCAGCCCCCUGGGAUAACACUGACGCUCAUGCACGAAAGCGUGGGGAGCAAACAGG
rnacentral:rRNA from 1 species